GUUCAUCACCCUUCUCAAGAACAAUAGUAUAGAACCCUUUGUAGUUCAGCCGCCUAAAGUUUGACCCGCAGCUAUAAACAACACUCUGAAUUACAUUGAUUUUACUUCGCUGGUCAACAAUGGGCACAAAACACUCAUUCAUGAUGGAGAAAGCAACAGCUAACUUGCAAUUGCAUUCUAUGUCUACUAGAUCGUCAGUCAAAUUUGUAUCCCUGCCAAAAUCACGAUGUUGAAGAAGUCUCCAACAAAAUCCUUCAUCCAAGUCAUGCUUUACACCAAGAAGCACCUGCAGGCCUUCAAAAAUCUUCUGGCAUCCCUUUCCGCAAAACGAUAGAUCUUUAGUAUCAAAACCGAGAGCACUGUCACCGGGGACACAAGGCAAAUGGAAUUUUCCCUCACACAAAUGGCAUUUUAACAACUCAGAUACUGCCAUGCCAUCCUGCACAUCAUUUUCUGAGGAGUUUCUGACAACUGUCCCACAGAAUUUGCAUGAACAAUAAACACAUCUCCAAUCUCCAGAAGGUAACUUUUGAAUAUCUAAGC
rnacentral:misc_RNA from 1 species